GGGGGAUUGGCGGAACGGUAGACGCAGCAGACUCAAAAUCUGCCGGUGCUUUCACCUUGUCGGUUCAAGUCCGAUAUCCCCUACCA
rnacentral:tRNA from 1 species